rnacentral:rRNA from 1 species
GACGAACGCUGGCGGCGUGCUUAACACAUGCAAGUCGAGCGGUAAGGCCCUUUCGGGGUACGACGAGCGGCGAACGGGUAGGAGUAACACGUGGGUGGACCUCGCCCUCCAGCUCUGGGAGUAAGCCUGGGAAACGUAGGGUCGUAAUACCGGAUAUGACUCCAUGACGCAUGCUGUGGGGUGGAAAGACCUUGUGCGGCUGAGGAUGGGCCCGCGGCCUAUCAGCUUGUUGGUGGGGUGAUGGCCUACCAAGG